rnacentral:lncRNA from 12 species
GAACCGAUUUGCUAUGUUAAAAAAGAGGACUUUGUACUUACCUUUUCACAGCACCACACAUUUUAUGCUCAAUACAGUUAGAUAAGAACCAAAGACAAACAGACUUCAUAUUUAAAUGUAAAAUUUUAUUGUAAAAUUGAAAAAAAGAGAGAGAAAGAGAGAAGCCCAUUAAGCGUUUCUUUUCGAUGCAUACAUUUCUCUAAACAUAACCAAUAAAUAGGCGAUUCAUAAACAGAUUUUUGUCAGGAAUAAAUAAAUAAAUAAAUAAAUAUGUUCAUAAAUUAACUGGCAAAUCAAUAGAUGAGUAGGCAUAACCAUAAAACAAUGUAAGCAGCAAGUAUUUGAGAAAUGUCAACACGAUGCUUGGUUUCUCAGGCAUUUAUCUUGGACAUAUCCUCUCUGUCUCAAAAAAGAAAGAAAGAAAGAAAGAAAGAAAAAAAGAAAAGGUAAGAGGAAAAGAGAAAGAAAGUCCACUAGCGGGACAAGAAGAGCUUCUUUUUUUCCACUGCAUUUUUCCUCGAUCUUCAAGUUUAACCCUCAUUUGUCCAGUGUAAUAAAAGCCUUAAGCGCCUCUUCCUUUAAAUAGCAUAUGUGUGUAUAAUAUGUAUAUAGAAAUUGAAGUUGUUCUCACUGGGUUUUUUUGUCAGGUUUUUUUUUUUUCUUUUUGUUUGUUGCUUGACUGACGGUGCUUUGCUCAGAGAGAGACAGGACAUGUUGAGUUCUCUGUCUUUAGAGAGAUCUUCCACUUGUCUUUCGUGCACUGUGCCGAGUGUGGUUUUUCCACGGGUGCCGGUUCACCUGCAACCCCUCCUCUGCAACCCACCGAACAUCUUCAGAAAAUAAAUGCUGAUAUGUCUUCAAAAAAAUCCAUUCAUGUUGUUCUUGUUUGUUUUGAAAGAAAAAGUUAAAUUCCUUUUGAGAUUUCACUCCAUAAAUCCUGUAAAAAAAAAAAAAAAUUAAACUGGAAAUAAUAUCUAAUAUAAGAUAUUUACAAUAAAAUUAAAAAACUAUAAAUUAAUAUAAAACAAUUAUUAUAA